UACUCUACAUCUAUGACAGCGAAAUCCUUGUGAAUAUGGACAGAUGGAGAUGUAUGAACGGGCAGUUCUUACAGUUACUUAUUUAGUGGACAUAUGGUGUAAUUAUUGUCAGUUUGCGAUUUCAACAUACAAUGACCCAGAUGUCAUCAGAACAUAGCAAUUGAAUACCGAGACUAUUCUGAUGAAGUUUUUUUUAAUAUAUUUUUGUAGUGUCUUGACUUUUGUUAACUACCGCAUUUUAGGCUGUAUGUGUAUAGGAAUACAUACAUGGCAAGAAGGGAUUUUACAAUACCUAGGACCUGAACAGGAAUGCUUGAUGAAAUGCUUCAUAAUAUUUUAGCACUGUUUUUGGGCAGUCCUUGUGGUAGGAAAGUUAUCCAUUCUUCGAAAACUCAUCUACUACUACUCACCUUGUAGAAUUUUUUAUUCUGCUGCAUAUUUGGUUUUAUCAUAAAAUGAAUGGAUUAUUGUGAAAUACAGUGUAACCCCUCCCCCCCUCUCAACGAUUAUUAUUUUAGCAUUUAUUUAUUAUUAUUCUUUUGCCUCUUGCUAUUGCUUGCUAAAGGCACAUGCAUACACAAAUCUUUCCUCAUGCCAUUGUUUCUUCUGCAAGCACCUAGCAGUGUAAUUUCAUGAAUCAAAGUAAGAUUCUGCUAUUUGGCCCAAAGAAUUAUCUGAUGAUACCUUUUCCCCUUUCCUUGCUAUAGCUACUGGAUGUUUAUUCUUUUUGAGACAAGAACACAUACUUUUGGCCUACUUAUACUAUCAUGUCGAUUCCUAAUUUAGGAGUGAAUAGGGGCUGUGGACUGCUUUUCUUGCGUUUGCGGUGCGUUUGUUCUUACCCUUUCCAGGUAGAGUAACAUGAAAGAUCAAUAAGUCCUGCUUAAAAGUUUUAUGCACUGUUUGAGCAGUGAUUUUGUUUUUUAUGGUGAGAGUUCCUCGGAUGUUAUUUUUCGCUCAAAUUUUGCAAGAAGCUCAAGCAUUUGAUAAUUAUUUUUGUCUCAAAAUUUCAGAAUUUUUGGAUUUUGUUUUAUCAUGUUUUUUCAGUGUUUUUCGAAAUUCAGUGUACUACACUCGAGAGUUGUCACACCUUUCUAUAUAUCUCAUGGUUUUGUGGCUUAUGCCUUGGAAGGUUUUUGCCAAUGCACAAGUGCAAAGUCCUUUCAUUUUCCUCCUGUAUCCUCAGUUGCGUACUAUAACAUUUGACUAUGUGUCGUGUUGGUCUCAAUGGGCUGGCACAGUACUACAGACUAUGGCUAAAGGCUAUGUUUUCAAACAUAAAAUAAUGAUUCAAAGAAGAGGAGCAGACCGUGCUACGAUAUUUACCUCAAGGUGAUGAAUCAAUGAACCGAGGGACUUAUUAUUCGGUGAGGCCAGCGGGGUAUUCCAUUUCCUGCAUUUCCUCUUCAGUAUGCUGACUCCAAUCUCCAGAGGCCUCGAUGCUUCUUUCUUAGUCCAUUUAAAUGGGGAAUCAUUGAAAAAAUGUCUUCUCAUCAAGGAUUGGAUUGUGUUCUCAUUAUAGAACAUAAUUUAUUAUGUGAGGCAUUUUCCAUUGCAACAUCUUGUCUAGGUAGGUCAUGCAUGGCAGAAUCGCCUCCUCCCGGUCUUCAGCACUCCUGCAGGAAUUGAGCGCCAGUGUGGUCGGGACACAUAGAACACCAACAAGCGAAAAAAACGCACCACUCCUAGGUCAUGCUUGGCAGAAUCGCCUCCUCCCGGUCUUCAGCACUCCUGCAGGAAUUGAGGGCCAGUGUGGUCGGGACACAUAGAACACCAACAAGCGACAAAAACGCACCACUCCAAUAUGCAGCCAGAGUUUGGGCAAUGGUCAAACCAUGGCUUGGUUUACAUGAUGUUCAUCCUACGGACUGGGGAGGCAUGGUUUCCGUCAAGGAGUGGUGGCGCAGCAACACUUAAGGAAGGUCGCAAUCUCGAAGGUCGCUUGUUUCCCUUAUUCAUAUCUCUUGGGAAAUCUGGAAUGAGCGAAAUGCUCGGGUGUUCCGCAACAAUGCGACUCCGGUCCUUGUUCUUGUGACACAUCAAAGCGGAGGCAUCAUCGGGGUGCCUUGCCGGACGAAAUAUUUGUGUAAUAUAUAAUGCCGCGAGAGUGAUUCUUAAAAUCUUCGUCUUAUUCAAUGAAAAUGACAAGCCUUUGGACUUGUUUCAACAUAAUAUGGACCCGAAUGGAGUGAAAUGUUUAAUAUGUGCAUACCAUUUCUGGAUUGAGAGAUCUAUUUACUGAUGGCUGGUUUUUAAAGAUGUCUUAUAAAGUUGUGAAAUUCUCCCAGAAAAGGCUUCUGAGUGGAAUUAAUGAGUACGGUGCUUGUGAAGUUUCCUCCAUAGCUCUUUUGCAAUCAAUCAUUCGUCUGUUAUUAUGGUUGUUCCAUUGUAUGCAUGCACAUUGGAAGGCAGAAAGUAAUGUUGGCUGGUCGCCAGAGAAGUAAAAAGGCCAACAUCUUGAGCUGUAUGGAGCAUGGUUGUUUUCUUGAAGUUUCUGAUGGAUUGUAUACCAUUGACUGAUAGGAAUCGUUCAUUCAUGAGAAUGGGACAAGAGCAUUGCUAGAUGGAAUUCGGCUGAGUGUAAGUACACAUGAGAGGUGUGUUUUCAUUGAUAGAGGAAGGGUGAGAGCAUGACACUUGUACAGGAAAAA